GUCUCGGCAGUGCAUUUGGUUGGCACUUGCCUCCUUCAAGGGCAAUAUAUGGGUUCGACCCCCGCCUGAGGCU